UGUGCCAUGAGUCAUUCCUGUAAUAUCAGAGGUUUAGUCUCUGUUUUACGCCUAACUAGAUUUUGGAAGUUGAUUUUGAAGCAUUCAGCUCGAGUUUAUUGUGUUUGAUUAAUCUGUACAAUCAGCUGCUGCUUGGCACCUUUACUAUUUGCAUUUACCAAUUUGUUACCCAAGUGCCUUUACUAUUUAGCAGCAAGUCCAGAGGUUGCCAAUCACAUUAUUUGCAGACGACAGGGACAUGUCUUUCUUGGUAAACAAAUCUGAAGCAUGCCAAUUUGAAGGAUUCACUACUUUUAGAAAUCCAGCCAGGAAGGAUUUUCAAUAGAUUUGCCGUUACAAACAUUAAAUCACGAGUGAAUGGAAAAUCUUCCCCCAUUUAUCAUGCUGUGACAAAUAAAGCUUCUGUUUAGGAUUUGGCAUUAUGAUGCCACUCUUGGUAGCUGGCUUGGUAGUUUCAAAUUGCCCGUUAGCUGAAUUGCAAAAUCAUUGAAGCAGUUAUCAACGGUCCGCAAUGAUGUGUCUGGACAGAUUAUGCACACUUUAAACACCGGCUGGCUGAUCCAUGCGGUAGUUUAUUUGGCAGCUCUUUAUGAAAAUGUCUUGAGUAAUUGCAGCAACUAUGCUCUGUGGGAUCCUCAUCUCUGCUUACAUGAAAACUUGGUGUAAGAAUGCUUGCCCAAUAUCCUUCAUGUGCUUGCUCUAAUCAGGGGCAACAAAAAUAGAUGGACAUUUGACUC